GACGAACGCUGGCGGCGUGCCUAAUACAUGCAAGUCGAACGCAGUGGGGACGGGUUAGUAACACGUGGGUAACCUCCCAUCAGAGGGGAUAACACUUGGAUACAGGUGCUAAACCGAUACUGAUGGAUGUACCCGCAGCGCAUUAGCUAGUUGGUGAGGUAACGGCUCACCAAGGCAACGAUGCCUAGCGGACCUGAGAGGAUAACAAGCCAAACUGGGACGGAGAAACGGACAAGACUCAUACGCGAGGCAGCAGUGGGGAAUCCUCGGAAAUGGGCGAAAGUCUGACCGAGCAAUCACGCGUGCGUGAAGAAGGUCUUCGGAUCGCAACACUCUGUUACUGGAGAGGCGGUAUCUAACCAGUUAGCAACGGCUAACUACGUGCGUGCAGCGGCGGUAAUAC
rnacentral:rRNA from 1 species